rnacentral:lncRNA from 1 species
CAUGCCUGUAAUCCCAGCACUUUGGGAGUCCAAAGUAGGCAAAUCAUAAGGUCAGGAGUUUGAGACCAGCCUGGCCAACAUAAUAAAAUCCUGUCUCUACUAAAAGUACCAAAAAAAAAAAAAAAUUAGCCUGGCGUGGUAGUGGGCACUUGUAGUCCUAGCUACUUGGGAGGCUGAGGUAGGAGAAUCACUUGAACCUGGGAGGCAGAGGUUGCCUUGAGCCAAGUUUGCCCCACUGCACUCCAGCCUGGGUAACAGAGUAAGAUUCUGCCUCAAAAAAAAAAAAAAAAAAAAAAAAUUAUCAGCAUGGCUGGAGCCCAGAGAAGCCAGAGAGAACACAGCCCUUUGGGAGACUGGUGAGGUGGGAAGGAGCCAAAUUUUGGAGAGCCUGGUAUGAGGUAAAGGAAAGAAUCAGAUAUGUGAUGACAUUUCCAUCUCUUUUUGAAAAACAAAGGAAAUAAUUGAACAUGUUUUAUAGUGAACUUCCAUUGGACAGCACAGAGGUGAUUAUUACAAAGUUAUGUACCAACUACAUUAAAAGGCAUCUCAGAUAUGCUCCACAUGGACUCAUUCAGAUACACUUGAAAAUUAAGGGAAGAGACAGCUUGGAGUCCCCCACGGAUAAAUGAAUGCAUUCACCUGGAAAUAAUAUAUCAUUUCCACUCAUGUUCCACUGGCCAAAGAAUAUCAAGGGGAUGGAGAAUUUCAGUGACCACUCCCUUUUACCCCCACCACAAACUGAAGGAAGAGAAGAACUGGAACUACAGCAAGGUCACUGAAGAGGUGAAAAAGCUAACUGACUUGAAAAGGAUCACCCACAUAGCCAGAAAUGCAGAUUAUGCCGGUAUGUACAAAAUGUUUUUCAUACAGGUGUCCGUUGCAAAUCUUUCCACUAACGUGCAUACAAAGGUAAACUAUGAAUUCUUAGUGGGGAUGGGG